AACGCACAUUGCGCCCCUUGGUAUUCCAUGGGGCAUGCCUGUUCGAGCGUCAUUUGUACCUUCAAGCCUUGCUUGGUGUUGGGUGUUUGUCUCGCCUCUGCGCGUAGACUCGCCUCAAAACAAUUGGCAGCCGGCGUAUUGAUUUCGGAGCGCAGUACAUCUCGCGCUUUGCAUUCAGAACGACGACAUCCAAAAGUACAUUUUUACACUCUUGACCUCGGAUCAGGUAGGGAUACCCGCUGAACUUAA
rnacentral:misc_RNA from 1 species